rnacentral:rRNA from 1 species
UACGUAGGGUGCAAGCGUUGUCCGGAAUUAUUGGGCGUAAAGAGCUCGUAGGCGGUCUGUCGCGUCGGCUGUGAAAACCCGGAGCUCAACUCCGGGCCUGCAGUCGAUACGGGCAAACUGGAGUGUUGCAGGGGAGACUGGAACUCCUGGUGUAGCGGUGAAAUGCGCAGAUAUCAGGAGGAACACCGGUGGCGAAGGCGGGUCUCUGGGCAACAACUGACGCUGAGGAGCGAAAGCGUGGGGAGCGAACAGG